CCUACCAAGGCUUUUGACGGCUAGCCGGCCUGAGAGGGUGACCGGCCACACUGGGACUGAGACACUGCCCAGACUCCUACGGGAGGCUGCAGUCGAGAAUCUUUCACAAUGGACGAAAGUCUGAUGAUGCGACGCCGCGUGCAGGAUGAAGGCCUUCGGGUUGUAAACUGCUUUUUUUUAGGGAAGAAACCCUUAACGCGAAUACCGUUAAGGCUGACGGUACCUAACGAAUAAGCCACGGCCAACUCCGUGCCAGCAGCCGCGGUAAUACGGAGGUGGCGAGCGUUACUCGGAAUCAUUGGGUGUAAAGGGCAGGUAGGCGGCCUGUUAAGUGAGGGGUGAAAUCCCACGACUCAAUCGUGGAACUGCCUUUCAAACUAACAGGCUUGAGUACGACAGGGGGAAGUGGAAUUGGCAGUGUAAGGGUGAAAUCUGUAGAUAUUGCCAAGAACACCGGCGGCGAAGGCGACUUCCUGGGUCGUAACUGACGCUGAUCUGCGAAAGCUAGGGUAGCAAACGGAAUUAGAUACUCCGGUAGUCCUAGCCGUAAACGAUGAGCACUAGGUGUUGGACAUUUGUUCAGUGCCGCAGCUAACGCAUUAAGUGCUCCACCUGGGGACUACGGCCGCAAGGCUAAAACUCAAAGGAAUUGACGGGGACCCGCACAAGCGGUGGAACAUGUGGUUUAAUUCGAUGCUACGCGAAGAACCUCACCAAGGCUUGACAUGCUCGUCAUAUCCUCCUGAAAGGGAGGAGUCAUUUAGUUGGACGAUGCACAGGUGCUGCAUGGCUGUCGUCAGCUCGUGUCGUGAGAUGUUGGGUUAAGUCCCGCAACGAGCGCAACCAUUGCCCUAUGUUGCCACCCUACUAUCAACCUUCGGGUUGCGGUAGGCGCACUCUUAGGGGACCGCCUGGGAUAACCAGGAGGAAGGUGGAGAUGACGUCAAGUCAGUACGGCCCUUAUGCCUUGGGCUACACACGUGUUACAAUGGAUGGUACAAAGGGUUGCCAACCCGCGAGGGGGAGCUAAUCUCAAAAAGCCAUCCUCAGUUCGGAUUGGAGUCUGCAAUUCGACUCCAUGAAGCUGGAAUCGCUAGUAAUGGGAGAUCAGAUACGCUCCCGUGAAUACGUUCCCGGGUCUUGUACACACCGCCCGUCAAGCGAUGGGAGCCGGGGGCACCCGAAGUCCUGUGUAGGCAGGCCGAAGGUGAAACUGGUGACUGGCGCUAAGUCGUAACAAGGUA
rnacentral:rRNA from 1 species